AGUGGCGAACGGGUGAGUAAAGUAUCGGAACGUGCCCAGUCGUGGGGGAUAACGUAGCGAAAGUUACGCUAAUACCGCAUACGAUCUAUGGAUGAAAGCGGGGGAUCGCAAGACCUCGCGCGAUUGGAGCGGCCGAUAUCAAAUUAGGUAGUUGGUGGGGUAAAGGCUCACCAAGCCGACGAUCUGUAGCUGGUCUGAGAGGACGACCACCCACACUGGGACUGAGACACGGCCCACACUCCUACGGGAGGCAGCAGUGGGGAAUUUUGGACAAUGGGCGCAAGCCUGAUCCAGCCAUGCCGCGUGCAGGAUGAAGGCCUUCGGGUUGUAAACUGCUUUUGUACGGAACGAAAAGGUUUGGCCUAAUAAGCUGAGCUCAUGACGGUACCGUAAGAAUAAGCACCGGCUAACUACGUGCCAGCAGCCGCGGUAAUACGUAGGGUGCGAGCGUUAAUCGGAAUUACUGGGCGUAAAGCGUGCGCAGGCGGUUAUGUAAGACAGAUGUGAAAUCCCCGGGCUCAACCUGGGAACUGCAUUAGUGACUGCAUAGCUGGAGUACGGCAGAAGGGGGGAUGGAAUUCCGCGGUGUAGCAGUGAAUGCGUAGAUAUGCGGAGGACACCGAAUGGCGAGGCCAUCCCCUGGGUCUGUACUGACGCUCAUGCACGAAGCGUGGA
rnacentral:rRNA from 1 species